GACGAACGCUGGCGGCGUGCUUAACACAUGCAAGUCGAACGAAGAGCGAUGGAAGCUUGCUUCUAUCAAUCUUAGUGGCGCACGGGUGAGUAACGCGUAAUCAACCUGCCCUUCAGAGGGGGACAACAGUUGGAAACGACUGCUAAUACCGCAUACGAUCUAAUCUCGGCAUCGAGGAUAGAUGAAAGGUGGCCUCUACAUGUAAGCUAUCACUGAAGGAGGGGAUUGCGUCGGAUUAGCUAGUUGGAGGGGUAACGGCCCACCAAGGCGAUGAUCAGUAGCCGGUCUGAGAGGAUGAACGGCCACAUUGGGACUGAGACACGGCCCAGACUCCUACGGGAGGCAGCAGUGGGGAAUCUUCCGCAAUGGACGAAAGUCUGACGGAGCAACGCCGCGUGAGUGAUGACGGCCUUCGGGUUGUAAAGCUCUGUUAAUCGGGACGAAAGGCCUUCUUGCGAAUAGUGAGAAGGAUUGACGGUACCGGAAUAGAAAGCCACGGCUAACUACGUG
rnacentral:rRNA from 1 species